UUCAUGCAUUAUCAGUGUGAAAAGAAAACAGAUAAAGGGCAGCCAAAACCCAAAUCCUCAAACUAUAGAUAAUGCUGGUCCCCAACAGCUGUCCACUUGACACCCCUCGGACUCGCACUCACUCGGCAAUGCACUCAGAAAUUGUAUUCCAAGAGACCGGCAAGAUAUGGGGCAGGAGAGAGCGAGAGUCGCUUCGAAUGUUUUCCAUAUGGUUGGCAUUACCUGGUGACAAUUUAGAGCCAAGAAAUCUAUCUAAAAAUAAGAAUUUCCCCUAACAUAAUUUUUCACGAAUGAUAAUGUACUUAUUUAUUCCAAUCAUUUGUAUUUUAUAAACAAAUUCGAUUGAGGAAUGAGUGAAAAGGAAAUUAAAAGUUUGGACCACCCACAAUGAUUUCAAGAACAAACAAAUCUUAACAGAUGUGGGGAAGCAGCCACAAUUGCAUGAAGAAAUAAAAUUUUAGUGAUAUUUUGUCAGAGGCGAAAAGUGUGCUUUUUCUCUUAAAUGUAAUCAACAACCUGAUUGCAAUUUGGAAUAAAUAAGAUCAAUUUAUUCAAAAUUUAUCGGGCAUGGCAAAUAUUUGGCUAAAUUCAAUGUUGCAUUUCGAAUUUAAACGAAAA